GCCAAAUUAAUUUGGUCAAUGGUGUCUCGGAUCUGAAACCAGUCGUCAAUCAGACGACUCAUCUUCUUGUAGAACUCGCUAUCGGUGUUGCUCAUUGUGUAAUGUCGAUAGGAGGGUUCACAUUCCUUGGCGACAACAGUAGCAGCUAUUAUGAAGCGAUUGAGCAACCCUCGGUGUAUUGGGUAACACUCUUCAGCAGGUUUGAGCAGUUUGACAUAACAACCCAUUCCUUCUUGUUCCUCCAUGAAUCUCAACAUAGUUGAGAUCUCCUUCCAUCAUCUUGGUGGUCAAUAGUUCAGGAGCCAUAUUAACCAAGUACUUGCUCAGAUAUGCCUGUGCAAAUAUUAUUAGUCUUAUCGAUACUUUGUUGAUUUAAUGAACGGGAUUGACUACUUGUGCACACAAAUAAGUGUAGGAGCCACAGGUCAUGGAAAUCCCUGUAAGUGUAGGGAAUGAAGAACCACUGCACUGAUUGACUUGAGAAAAUCGAAUGAUUUAUUAAUAGAAAUUAAGCUUAAUUCUAUCUUACCAGAAAGAAUCGGAGUUCUGUCCUUGUCUAAUCCUGUCACUUUUAUUUACUUGUAAUCUCCUGUCUCACUCAAUUUACUCAAUCGAUUAUUACAUACGUUCGGUGUUAACUUAUUCGGUUUUGACCAUGUGGCUGUCAUCGUUUCUUUCCCAUGGGAAAUAGAGCGUCGAAUUUCAAUGGAGAUUUUCAAAAAUCCCAUCCCAAAAUGUCAGAGAAUUUCACCAAUCCAGAAUUUGUUUCAUUAGCACUCUUUGGUUUGUUCGUAUACUCUUCGAAGUAUUCGUCUUCUCUGUUUUGUAAAAUCGCGUUAUUCCAUGCCUCUAGGUGUUCAUUAAAGAGCAUCAACGCAACUCAACCUAGCGUCCCAAUUUCCUGUCUGCCCUGUUGCCUCUGCAAUGCGCAUAAUCUGCGUGUAGUACAGCUGGUUCAUGUUAUGAAGGAACACUUCACGUGGGAGGCUGCGAGAUACGCCUGUCUGAAUCCUUAUUAUCUUAGCAUGACACUGCUCUACCAGAUUUCGCUAUUCGGCACCAAAUUGCCUACCGUGGGGAUGUCGUAACGCAACUCAUUAGAAGGCGGGCUCGCCUCUUUACUUACAUAUUCGGAUGGUUGCGCCGAGUACUGUCACGGUCGCCAUAUUGUGUUCCUUCGUUAUCCUUUGCGAACGAGGGACUACCACUGUUAUAAAUGCUUGAUAUCCAUAAGACUCGACGGUUCAAUUAAUAAUGAUUUAUUCUGAGCUUAAUAUUUAACCUGACUUGAAACAUGCUGACUAAGGCUCAUUUUUAGUAGUACACAUAUGUAUACAAUGAGAACGACCGGGACGAUCGUUCCCAGGUUAUGAUAGUGCUGCGUUAUCAAAACCUGCUGUUGGUGUCGUGUUAUAUUACGUUCGGUGAGAUACGGUCAAAGCGAUCGUUCCCAUGUUUGAAAAAUGCUGAUUUGAAUUCAGUGGAAAAUGUAGGUGUACUACACAAACUCACAACCACUCUACUUUACUAUUAAAACAAACUUUUUUUUCUUUACAUACAUUGACAUCGUUAGAAAUAAGAUUUCGUUGCUAUUUUAAAUAAUCAAUAUAUUAAAGAUAAUAAAUCGCGCACGGUUGAAGGCCCUACGUUGUGUUUUAUUUUAGCCUUUGGCAUUGUGAAGAGCAAUUAAGGCCAGGGGACGAGCUUCUUCGUGUUUGUCAAAAUUUCAUUCUACUGUAACGGUUUUCCUGAUGAAUGUGAUAUUGCACUGAUCGGUUCACUCGGCGUUGUUUUCACUAUGUAACAAUGUUUAUUCACAAAUUUAUUCUAAUUAUCGCGACCAUGAGACAAUAUUAAUCGUGACACUACCAAUACUUUAUCGUCACCUUUUUAUAAUUCACAAUAGUUCCACUUUAUAUUAUGCGACUACUAAAUUGAAUGUCUGUUACCAGAAAGAUCACUUAUUUUAAAUUCUUCUGCUUUUUCGUUGAAAAUUAUUCCCUUGCUGGUGGAGAUGAUUAUUUUUCCGUGUUUUCCGGCCAAUGCAUUGAUCAAACGAGCUUUGCUGCAAUUUUCAAAUCCACUCCUUUAACACUGAGUUUUGUCGGUACCAGCUUUUGAAUUUCUGCUUCCAUUUUACACACUUCAGCCCUCGUUAACUGUGCAUUUUCUUUGGAAAAUAUUAGUUUGAUUGGACGACAGAACGAUACCGAAGAAGGUAUAUCGUUGUUCCAGAUGAUUUCCUCUUUUCCAUUUUCAAACUGUCGUCGAAUGAUUCGGAUCGGAACCAAGGACAUCGCAAAUAUAUAAGCAUCACUGUAUUCCUUAAGCUCAUUAUCGUUAUCCUCAUCAAAAAACACCUGCUUGAAUCUUCAUAUAGAAAUAGGAAAAAAUUAAAAUGCAUUUGAUUCUACUAUUUCCGAUAUACUAUGUACCUUGAAUGGUUGGAACUUCCAUCACAACCCCAUUUAAAAAUCACGUGUACCCAAUCUUCCUGCAGAAUGUCUAUAUUGAGGAACUUGAUAAGGCGUAGCACUGUAUGGUCUAUUAAAGACUGUAGAGAUAUUUCCGCACAUGACGGUUUGAUAGUGAUACCUUGAAAUGUUUUGAAUUAACCAAAAUAUUAUAAAUAUUUCAAAAGCUUCUGGCAUCUAGGUUCUCAAUAGAUCGUAGAUCGUAGAUCGAGAGAUCGUAGAUCAGAAAAAUCGAAUAGUAUUUACCGUUUGGACAAUUAUCUUGUUUGGCCAAUAAAACCUUGUUGUAGCUGGGAUACAAAUGAACGCCCCUAUUCAAAGUAGUCAUCCGAAUGUCACGGUACUGCCUUUUGGAGAAAUUGUUUCUGCAAAUAAACGCUAUGGCUUCCGCGGUAUAUUCUUCAAUCUGUGGUACGUUUUCGAAAGACUCUGUUGCUGAUUCCGGAGAUCGUACGAGACUUUCAAUUCUUUUUCCAACCGAACGAAAUCCACAACGGCUAACACAUAGAGCAGAGGCCAUACCUAGCUCCUCCGGUGAAUGAUUGUUAGUUAAAUCAUGCAAACGGGUUUGUUUGCUUCUCCGGCCCAACUCGGAAAAUGGUUUCAAAGUAGGUUUUUCCACAACAGUUUGCUUAAUUUUGAACACCACAUUUCCACUUAGCCACGUUGAAUUUACGGUGAGGAAACGAUUCUUCGAACGAUUACAUUUUUUCCACAAUUUCCAGAACAUUAAACUAAAAAGUCUUAAUUUUUACGUGAGGCGGCAUUAUCCGUAUCGACACUGGGAAACCGUUGACUAACUAAAUCAAUCAAAUCACUAAGUUUUCUUCCUUCAAUAAGAAGGUUUGCUAAAUCGCUUCGUGGAACUUCCAUCUUGAAAAGUCGUAUUGCAAUGAUUGUUCCUCAGAAACAAGCAGGUUCCCAGGCAACACACGUUGUUAAGGAACAACACAAUUUGCGCAUGCGCAAAUGUGUUGCUACGCCUGCGUGAAUGUGUACUGUGGUGUUAGGUUGUACUAGUAGUGAACGCGAGUAUGAGAACGUUGUCUGAAAGUGAACAUGUUGCUAUUUCAGGAUUUUUAAUGAAAACCAAGUAUAUCCUGCACUGUAUUGACGAAAAUUCACCAACACAUGUUUACUUCAAAAUGUACAAUUUCAGAAGUUUUGAAAACAAUAUAUAGAGAAUUUUGCCGAAAAAAUUAGACACGAGGUUAAGCGUAAAAUACUAGUUACAUGAAUCUAUCUAUCAGUCAGUUCAAGAGAUACAGUUUUUUUUAUUGCAAAAUUAUCUUAAAUUGAUUCACUUUCAACUUUACCCAAGCAUAUGUACAUCAGUUUUAUCAAAUAAAAAAACUAGGCUGUAAAAACCUUACUUUUUCGACUGAAAAUGAUCAUAUUUAAACUUAUUUUAUUCGCUUUUAAGAAAUAACUUAUCUCCAAUUUUUUUUAUGACAAAGUACAAAAGUUGCUCUUUAAAAGAAACCAGAAGAUAUUUUUUUCAUCUGCCCCAUUCAGAGAUAUCAACAGUUGAAAAGGGCGUAUUUAAAAAUUAAAAGCUUAAUAGCUUUUCACCCAUAAAAGAUAUCGUUAAAGUAUAGCCACCAAAAGUUGCGUCUUUUAAAGCUCGAAAAGUCGCCUGAACAUAAUUUUACUGAGAAAAUUGAAUUAAACAAAGUAGAGCGAAAAAACCGUUUUUAAGAGCCAUCCUAGGCAAAAUUGCUCUAAUUCAGUCAAUUUAAGAGCUACAAGAAAGUAGUCUUCAACAAAGCUGCUUAAAAUCAAGUGAUCUACAACUUUACUGAAAAUAAAAUUUUAUUUUUCCACAAAUAAAAAUUUUAGUUGGUUUAUUUCGUUGGUUCUAGGACCACCCUAAUUUUCACCUCAGUUUAAAUGUAGACCAAAUUAUAAUAAGCAACUUCGCCAUAUAAAGUAUGGCUCUAAAAUCACAAAAAUGUAUCGAAAACUCCAUUUCCGCCUAAAUUGUCGUUCUGUACCACAGUGCGAUGUCUAUGUGUGCUUUGUACACGAUCACCAAUCGACUUCUGUUUUUUGUCGCUCCAAAUUCCAGGCAUUGAACUGAAGGUUCGAUGCCGGGUAGAAUUUACCUUCUCAGCAUGUUUCCACUGGUGUGGUCUGCUGGAAGUGUGAAGUCAAAACGCAUGGUAAUGACAUGUGGAAUGUCACAUGUCUCUUGUCAUUACAUGUCACAAUUGUGUGCAGUUUGUUUAAGGCGGAUGGCCUUUCGGUUUGUUUAUGUUUUGGAAUUUGAUACUACAGCAAUGGAUCUAAGAAUCCACGGGCUCGUAUAUUCCUUCUCUGGAAUACCUUUACCAUUGUCACCUAGGUCGUGAUGGAGAGAUCCUAAAUCAUCAUGUGUCAAUAUUGAUUGUUGAGAAGGAAGCUUGGUAACCUCUCUUAUUCUUCCUCCCCAUCUUCCCGGAUGAAUCAAUCGCCCUCGGAACCAAAACAUUCCAUUUGGCCCGUCUACAAUGUCAGCUGAGAUUGUGAUCGGAUCGGUCCAGAGACUCAGCACAUUCUAAUGCGUCUGAGAUCGCCUUAUAAGGCGUCUGCGGGUUUCUUGCUUUUAAUAUGAACUGCGUGGUGUUAUCUUUCAGUCCUUCUGUCUCAACAAGGUUGCUAGCAGCAGCUACGUUGGCGAAUGUUCCUUGCGAAACAUGAGCAGCAGCCAAUUUAGUGGCUAGCUUACUGAUUCUCCUACCAUCAUCUUGUUUGUCAAUAGCUCAGAAGCCAUAUUAACCAAGUACUUGCUCAGGUAUGCCUGUGCAUAAAUGAAUAGAGCGUCGAAUUUCAAUGGAGAGUUUCAAAAAUCCACUCCACAAUGUCAGAAAAUUUCACCAAUCCCGAAUUAGUGUCAUUAGCACUCUUUGGUUUGUUUGUAUCAUUCAUUCCACUUUGGGAAAUUUCAGGAUCUCCACGUCUCGUGCGGGUACGUAUACGCGAUACUUCCGAGUAAAGAGCUCGAAACAGGCUAUAUCGUUGGCUUGUUUCAGUUCAUUGACUACGACACGCAGUUUGUUCGGCCUGACUUUCGAAAUUUCGGUCACAGUGGUGUCUCGGAUCUGGAACCAGUCGUCAAUCAGGCGUCUCUUCUUCUAGUAGAACUCGCUAUCGGUGGUGUUGCGCAUGGUGUAGUGUCGAUAGGAGGAUUCACAUUUCUUGGCGACAACAGUGGCAGCUAUGAUGAGCGGUUGAGCAAACCUCUGUGUAUUGGGUAACACUCUUCAGCAGUUUGACGUACCAACCCAUUCCUUCGUGUUCGUCCAUGAAUCUCAACAUGGUUGCCGUCAUCACCUCCUCCCCUUCCAUCAUCUUGGUUGUCAAUAGCUCAGAAGCCAUAUUAACCAAGUACUUACUCAGGUAUGCCUGUGCAUACAUAAAUAGAGCGUCGAAUUUCAAUGGAGAGUUUCAAAAAUCCAGUCCACAAUGUCAGAAAAUUUCACCAAUCCAGAAUUUGUUUGGUUUGUUUGUACCAUUCAUUCCACUUUGGGAAAUCUUAGGAUUUUUCAGAUGUUUCCAUAGUCGAUCUCCACGUCUCGUGCGGGUACGUAUACGCGAUACUUCCGAGUUAAGAGCUCGAAACACUAUUUUUACACUAUUUAUCUCUUCAGUGGGCGAGAUAGAUGCCCUUUAAUGUUCUUAAGCACUGCACUUUACUUGGUUUGUUUUUGAGAACUCGCAUUUUUCUUCUUUAGGUAAGGAGCAACAUUGAAAAUACUUUAUACUUUGUUUUCUAUGCGCGUACAUUUCGCGGACAUUUUCAGUUCAUUAUUUCGCGAUCACCUCGUUGAGCACAGCGACAGAUCUAACUGCUUUCAAAGCGUUUUUACGUUCGCGUCUUUUGAAUGCAUUAUACAGUAUGAUUAUUAACUGCAUAGCAACCAUUAUUAGCACUACCCAUGACAACAGGUUGGUUUCUUCAUGAUAGGCGGUGUGCUGUUCCUGGUUGUUUAAGGACGAGCCAACGAUUUUGCUAUGUCAAUGUAGGAAGCUAGUAGUGCUGGCUUAGGCUCAAUCGCAGCAGCAUUCGCUGUUGGAUUGGAUGCCUUACUUCUUAAAACUUGUAGCUCGUAUUGAAUAACACGAAUUCCCAAAUGGUGGUGAUGGCUGAAAUGACCGUGACGCCCACUGAGUAGAGCUUGUGCUCGCCUUUAUGGCGACGAAACACUGGUUGCAAUCAUCACCUCCUCUCCUUCCAUCAUCUUGGUUGUCAAUAGCUCAGAAGCCAUAUUAACCAAGUACUUGCUCAGGUAUGCCUGUGCAUAAAUAAAUAGAGCGUCGAACUUCGAUGGAGAGUUACAAAAAUCCAGUCUACAAUGUCAGAAAAUUUGACCGAUCCCGAAUUUGUUUGGUUUGUUUGUACCAUUCAUUCCACUUUGGGAAAUCUUAGGAAUUUUCCAGAUGUUUCCAGAGUCGAUCUCCACGUCUCGUGCGGGUACGUAUACGCGAUACUUCCGAGUAAAGAGCUCGAAACAGGCUAUAUCGUUGGCAUGUUUCAGUUCAUUGAGUACGACACGCAGUUUGUUCGGUCUGACUUUCGAAAUUUCGGUCACGGUACUGUAACGUGACAUCAGGUCUUUUGAAAUUUGCAAUAUAUUCGAAGAUUUUUAUUUCGGUUCCGCCUUGGGCCAAAAGUAAACAACCAAGGGGCCUACCUUCACUGCGGAUUAACUUUACACAGCACAGAACUCGGAAAUACCGGAACCGGGCAAGCAAUGCCUUUUGUAAUCUAAAAUGCAAUAUAUGAAUGCAGAAAUAUAAGGAUAGCAUUCUUCCUUGCUACUGGACACAUUCUUGUUUUAGGAACGUCAGCCAUAUUAAUUUGGUUAAUGGUGUCUCGGAUCUGAAAUCAGUCGUCAAUCAGGCGGCUCAUCUUCUUGUUGAACUCGCUAUCGGUGUUGCUCAUGGUGUAGUGUCGAUAGAAGGGCUCACAUUUCUUGGCGACAACAGUGGCAGCUAUUAUGAAGCGGUUGAGAAACCAUUAGCAUCAUGAGCACCAUUGAGCAUCAUUAACUCGGCUUGUUGAAGCAAAAGUUUCAUCACAGGUUCUUGCAAGUCAACGUCAAUCCUCUUCUUUCCAGAGAAUACUGGCAUAGAGCAGAUCUGAUUUCCACCACCUGCCAGUGCGUCAUUCUGGGCAGCACUUGCUAGCUUAGCAAAUUUACGGAAGACGUAUGCUUCUCCUCUACUGCGAAGAGUUUCUCCGAUCUCCCUCCUGGUGUGGAAUCGGUAACCAGUCAACCAUUCUAGAUACCCAAGAUCCUCCGUGUAGGUACCCCAGACGGCAUGGAAUAACAUCUCGGACAUCAUCUACUUAUUAAGUCCAGAUUCUUAAUAAGGUCAUGAAGAGAAUCCUCUGGCAUUCCCGUAGUCUUUGCUUGCUCUAAGGUCUUCCCUGCCCAAAAGGUCCUGUACACUGCGCUUUUCUCGGCCACACCCAUUAUUAGUGCUAUGGGGAAGAAGGCCUUGUUGGCUGCAUGCGUCACUCCAAACAAACAAAAAUCAGCCAGGUUCUUCAUAAUAGCCUUCGCUCGAUCUUUGCUCCCAGCUAACAUGUUGGCAAUUUCUAGGGCAGCCGGAAUCAUUUUAAAGGUAUGCACAAAGACCUUUUUCCAGGGACCCUGAUAGUUCAUGUCAGUAGUCAUUGCAAGAUUGAUGGCGAUAGUCAUUGGACCCAAUGAGGAUUUCAUACUGGAUUGUUUCAUGGGUGGGAAGGUGCAUCCUUUCAAUGUUACCUGGUGAAAGGGUUCCAAUCCAAACUUAUGAAUGUAAACCUGUUUAGCCUCUCCAUUCUCUUUCCUUAGUGAUACGAUCCCUGAAGGUGGCCAACAAUGACAUAAUAGCGGAGAAUGCACCAAUCUUCUUCUUCGAGGCGUCUUCUCUGUUGUACGCCAUGUCGGUUCGGGGUCGGGGUUAGUUCAGAGAGAGGUUUAAGAACUCCUCCUACUUUCAUGGUAGUUGCUGGAACCAAACGGGCAUUCAGUUCUCCAACGCCAUUCACUGCUUGUCUCUUCAGGUUGUGUAUGGUGAAGAUAAUGGAGGAGAUAUCGGCCAUUGUAUCAAUGUUGGUCUUCUCUCGUUCAUCAUACUGGAUGCGGAAUGCCCCAUGCAGGUGGAGGAUAAGCCCAAUAAUCGACUUCUUUCGUGCUGGGUCCACUGGUGCUCUUUGACGUUUGGGAUCAGGCUCCACAUUUCCGUCCAAAUCAGCGUAGAUCCUCUUGGUACACACCACUGGCCUUGCUGGCCUACUUCAGCAACCUCCAUCGGGGUUUCAUCUACUACUUGAGGUGCAGGUGGGGUAGCCAACAUAGUUGCAAUCAUUACUCCUCUUCUUCCAUCAUCUUGGUGGUCAAUAGCUCAGGAGCCAUAUUAACCAAGUACUUGAAUUUCAAUGGAGAGUUUCAAAAAUCCAGUCCACAAUGUCAGAAAAUUUCACCAAUCCAGAAUUAGUCUCAUUAGCACUCUUUGGAUUGUUUGUACCAUUCAUUCCACUUUGGGAAAUUUCAGGAUCUCCACGUCUCGUGCGGGUACAUAUACGCGAUACUUCCGAGUAAAGAGCUCGAAACAGGCUAUAUCGUUGGCUUGUUUCAGUUCAUUGACUACGACACGCAGUUUGUUCGGUCUGACCUUUGAAAUUUCGGUCACGGUACUGUAACGUGACAUCAGGUCUUUCAUACUUGUAUUAGGACCGACAGCCAUAUUAGUUUGGUCAGUGAAGUCUCGGAUCUGAAACCAGUCGUCAAUCAGGCGUCUCAUCUUCUUGUAGAACUCGCUAUCGGUGUUGCGCAUGGUGUAGUGUCGAUAGGAGGGUUCACAUUUCUUGGGAACAACAGUGGCAGCUAUAAUGAAGCGGUUGAGCAACCUCCUGUGUAUUGGGUAACAACACUCUUCAGCAGGUUUGAGCAGUUUGAUAUAACAACCCAUUCCUUCUUAUUCCCCCAUGAAUCUCAACAUAGUUGAGAUCUCCUUCUAUCAUCUUGGUGGUCAAUAGCUCAGGAGCCAUAUUAACCAAGUACUUGCUCAGGUAUGCCUGUUCAAAUGCUAAUAGUCUCAUCGAUACUUUGUUAAUUUAAUAAACGGGAUUGACUACUUGUACACACAAAUAAGUGUAGUGGUCUAUCUUGGGCUCCCUACCGGGUCUGUAAUGAAGGUUAAUUAUAAUUGUUGAUUAUUAUUAUUAAUUAGUAAUCAUUUAAUAAUUAAUUGACAUAAAGUUCUGUAUCUAUUGGAUUUGCUUGCUUUAUUCUCUUGAUUUUUAUGCAGUCUAGUCUUUUGAGUUUCUAAUAGCUGAACACUUUUUAUCCUCGCUGUUCGUAGUUUUUGUCUGAGCUCUAAGUGAUACUAUUCAAUAUAUAAGUUUGUAUGUAUUUUAUUUUGAGAAGUUAGUCCGAACUAAAACUAGGGGUUUUUCACGCUUUAGCCGUUAAUCAUCCGGUUACCGUGCUGAACUGUUCUUUGCUAGAGUCAUUUUUUCUAGCUGAGAUAAAAUCAAAGCGCAUCUAGUUGUAUAUUGUUGGUCUAUUUGCUUGUAUGGUGUUCUACAGAGGCUACGAAAUGUGGCAUGUGCAUCACACAUGGCAUCGAAUCCUGUUCAAUCACAGCAGAACGCAUAAGAAGAUCUCUUUCAAGUGCUCCACCGGGAUGGACGUUCCGUUGAUCUCAAUUAAAUCCUCAUCUUUGACCUUUUCCUUGACUGAUCCGGAUUUGUUUGCAUGUUGCUUUAUGGUGGUGUAGAUGGUCCAUAGGGUAGCUGUGACUUUGCUAACUUCAUCAAUGUCAUGGCCUUGAGGAGGGUUGAGGUCAAAACCGAAUCUCUUGAGGAGUGCCACAUGCAAGUGGUGAACUGCCAACCUCAUCUUCCUGUUAAGGGUUAGGUUUAUCUCAGGCUUUGAUAGAGCUUUGGAGCUAGUCUUCUGUUGCACUCGUAUGUAAAUCAUCUCGCUUCUGUUGCAUUCGUACAAUAAUCAGCUUAAUUUCUCGAAUUGGUAUGUUGUAGUGUUAUUUUCCGACGGGUUUACUGUCAUCCCGUUUCGCGCACUUUCAGUUUAUUUCGCACUGUUCCCUAAAUCGUUUUUGUAGACACACACUUGUGUACACUGUCACUUUGUCAGUUUUUUAAAUUGUGGUCAGAUCCGAAAUAGUUUUUGCAGCUUUCAAAGCCUGCGCACGGGUGUGUUCUUUGUAAAGUUUGUACACUGUUAUAAGCAAUUGCACAGAGACGAUCACGAGUAUAAUCGUGAGUUUGACUUCGUGCUCUCUAUGCUGCUCUGCGUGAAUUUCCAGUCUAUUUAAAACUUGGACCUAGGGGUCCCCGGAAUUCUGUGAUUCUUUUGACUUUUCGUUCCCCAUGUUGACAAUUAACGCUGGUCAUUAUUUAAACUUGUUUUUCGUGAGGGGAAUAAGUCACUUCACACCGAUUAUCACGUCGUUUGUUCACUGCUGCAGUUUACGAUUAGCUCAGAAAUUCAGCUUCUUCUUAUUUGCACUUAUUACUUAUUACACAAAUAUUCUUCACUUAAUGCAUUUUUUGGAGAAGGCUGUGCUUGGUUUUAAUGUCACUGGUCGCCAUGUAGGCAUGAUGUCGGCAUGUCAUCGUGACUGAUUUUAAACACCUUACGUGUUGAGUAUCAACUUAGGAAUGAAUCUUUAUUUCAGUAAUUGGCUUAACCUAACCUCCUAUUUACUGGAGAUACUUGAAGUCAUUAUGUAUCGAUCAGCCAAUCGGUGAUCGAUGCAGAAGGCGGGAGAGAGCUAAGUAUUGAGAGAGAGACCGCCUGGUCAGCGCAUCGUCGCUGCAUGUAGCUUGGGAAUGGAAUGGCUUGGGAACAGCCAUAAAACAAUGACUCUGUAAAAUGACACUUUCAUGGGAAAGUGUUUAUGCAAGGCAGCAACGAUGGGUUGAUGACUGACGAGGGUUUUGACUUGGAAUCAGCAUGACGCAACUUAUGCGUUCUGCUGUGAUUGAACAGGAUUCGAUGCCAUGUGUGAUGCACAUGCCACAUAUGCCUGUUCAAAUGCUAAUAGUCUCAUCGAUACUUUGUUAAUUUAAUAAACGGGAUUGACUACUUGUACACACAAAUAAGUGUAGUGGUCUAUCUUGGGCUCCCUACCGGGUCUGUAAUGAAGGUUAAUUAUAAUGGUUGAUUAUUAUUAUUAAUUAGUAAUCAUUUAAUAAUUAAUUGACAUAAAGUUCUGUAUCUAUUGGAUUUGCUUGCUUUAUUCUCUUGAUUUUUAUGCAGUCUAGUCUUUUGAGUUUCUAAUAGCUGAACACUUUUUAUCCUCGCUGUUCGUAGUUUUUGUCUGAGCUCUAAGUGAUACUAUUCAAUAUAUAAGUUUGUAUGUAUUUUAUUUUGAGAAGUUAGUCCGAACUAAAACUAGGGGUUUUUCACGCUUUAGCCGUUAAUCAUCCGGUUACCGUGCUGAACUGUUCUUUGCUAGAGUCAUUUUUUCUAGCUGAGAUAAAAUCAAAGCGCAUCUACCCUCUGCAUGAACGAGUUUGUAACACAAAAUAAAAUUGAAUAAAUAAUACCUGCAAAUUUAUAGCAAUGUUUUGUGUUUUUGAGUUUAUUAUUUAUGAACUCGAAUAAACCUGUGUGCAAUGUUCUUCUAACUUUUAUGUAGUAUUCUUGUUUGAUUAUCUUUAACUUUACUUCGUUCUUGACGAGAAGUUCUGAAAUUGAGUUGUAAGUCUCGCUUGUGACAGCCGAGUGUUUGGUUAACGUUAUCCGGUUAUAUUUUCUAUACGGAUUUUUCACAAGAGUUGCUACUUCGGUGUUGGUCAUGAUUUCUUUGCUGGUCGAUAUUAGUAGAAAUCCCUGUUGUUCCGGUGAAAUCGAAAGAAUCCAGUGUGUCAAAUGUUUCCUCUUCGUAUAUAAGUGUGCAAGUGCAGGCGUGAUCGCAAGGGCUCUCAUGCUCUUUUGACAUCUCUUUAUUUUUGCUAACGCUUACUGCUAAAACUCUCCUUUAGAGUUAUUUCAAGAGUUCCGAAUGCGCAAAUCUGUCAAUGACUGUUUGCGUUCUCUAAUUCGUCUCACCAGCGACUGUUAUUUUUUAUUAAUCCAAUCGUCCAUCUUUCUGUUGCAUCAGAUUCGUAUAAAAAAAAAACAAAUAAAUCGAGUUCGCUUCCAAUAAUUAACCUCAGACUUGUACUCACAAUGAUGCGUGGUUUUUUCUUGAUCGUACUUUUAAAUAUAUAGGGUAUCGAACCUCUUCGUCAGUGGUUUUCUUCGGCAGGUUUGCUGCAGCAAUCUUAUGCAAAAACCUGCCGAAGAAAACCACUGACGAUGACGUUCGCUGCCGGUGCUGCGGAGUCAGCAGUAAAUGUGUUAGGUGCUUCAGACCCGCGACGCGUUCUCUUUUCGCACCCGGGUAGCAUCGUCCUUCAGUUGUCGUAGCCGCUUCUGGCUUCGCCGCCAGUGAUACAGCAGGGCGGCGAUGAGAUGGCCCCGUUGAACGAGUAGGAAGCCACGUCGUGUAUACUUAUCUGGUUCUCCACCACGUUGUCUUCCCCGAAUGACCACAUUAUCACGUUGCAUUGUUGAUACUGUAUGUGGCGUGUGGUGAUUCUCAUCGGAGUUUUGUCGCUCCGACGUAGGCCUGAUUCUGCUGAAUCAGCUCCCCUGGUCGUUGGAACCCGAUAAUGCGUGGGUUCUCACUGACGACGAUGUUUGGUGCAUCGAUUUCGGCUUAAGCAUCGCCACUUACAUUGCAUAUAUUGACCUCGUUAGAAAUAAGAUUGCCCCUUGAACUGUACUUUGAACCACGAGUGUAAAGAUGAUUAAUGUAGCACUGUGCUGGUUCUUGACACCAGUCAACUCGCGAUUUUUUUAUACAGGCACUUGAAUCACUAUUCCAAGAGUUUUUCACUAAGUUUAUCGCUUAUUCCCUUCCCAAAGCAGUGUGGCUGUUUCUUUUGAUUUUUCCUAAUUUUCACUAUUUUCUUGUAUUGUCAUUUACAUUUUUUUAUGUUGUCCGAGGAUUUCGCAAAACCUCUCCGGAAUGCUCUUCUAGCAACGUUCUUUUGAUGCUACCGGAACACGAUUAUUGUGACAUUUUGUGACAUAUGGGGACAUUUCAACUUAAUAAUAAGAUAAAUAAAUGAAAAAAAAAUACUGCCUAUCUCUCCCACUUGAUUAGCAGCUCGAUCGUUAACUUAAUCGUCUUGCGCACUGGCGCUCCGUAAACAACCCGGUAACUCAGCAACGAGUUUUACACGGUGUGACCAAAUUUUCUUGCGUCGCGUCUGUUUAUUCGGAUUCUACAUUAUCAAGAGGAUUCAGGAAGGAAUAAGAAAAAAAUAACCCUUAGCGAGAAGACCGUCAAUUGGGAGUUUUUUUUAUAUAAAUGGGAAGAGCUUCCCAACUAUCACACUGUGGUAUGUUAGGAGAUUGUGAAAUAAACCCAUCCACUAUACUUUGCUAUUAAAGUAAUUGUUUCUCACAUUACAUACAUUGACCUCGUUAGAAAUAAGAUUGCCCUGUCGUAUUUGGUUCGGAUUUUGUGAUACACAACAGAGAGUUAAUAACUUCCUUCUCGCGUGCCUGUCUGGACGGGACUGACUCACUUCUUUAUUUCUAUUCUUCGCUUAAACUAUACCACUGGCGAUGACCGGCAGCAUAACGCGGGGUCAGCAAAGUGCUCGAUCGCAUGACGGCAGUACAGUCGCUUUACGCCUACGUCGGCAUAUCACGCUGAACCAUCGCUUGCUCGACCGAACUACACGCCACACACCGCGCAGCUAUCCGAGCCAUCUACCACACGCCCUAUUUAUUUUUUUAUAAAAUUUUUCACUAUAGUUAUAAAUUUUAUAUAGUUUCAGAUUGAACAAUUAAUGAUAUUAUAUCCGAAAAAUCGUGUCCAUCUACCACACGCCUUAUUAAUUGUAUAAACCUUACUCACUAUUGGUUAUAAAAGGUUUACAUCUAGUUUUAUGUAUUAUAUCUAUUUUGUCUCCUAUUCUUAUUUCUACAUUAGGACCCUUAUCUGCGGUUACUGGAUAUGGUCCUUAAUAUAUUUUACUCAACUUAGAUCCUGUUUCAUUUUUUACAAGAAUUAGUUGACCUACAUUAUAUCUUAUAUCUUUUGCAUUGACAUUAUAUUUGGUUAUUCUUUUCAUUUUAGAGUUUAUUAAUUUGUCUCUUGUCUCCUUUUGUGUUUUUUGUAAUUUAUAUUUCAGAAGUUUUGCAUAGUCCUCUACGUUGUAUAGGGUAUCUGCCUUGUCGUUUUCGCUCAGAUUAGAUGGUAAUCUACACAAUUUUCCAAAAACUAAUUCAAAAGGCGUCAUAUUUGUUUCUAAGUGUGUUGUAUUAUAUGCAAAUUGGUAAUACUUUAUCCAAGAUGCCCAGUUUCCUUGUGUUCCUGAUGCGUAUAUUCUUAGAAAUUUGCCUAACGUUUUGUGUGAAUUCUCUAAAGCUCCCACUGUCUGAUGGUGGUAUGCCGUGGAAUUCAGCUUUUUAAUUCUUAGAAGAUUGCAAAUUUUUUGAAAUAGCUCAGACAUGAACUCUGUUCCUCUGUCGGUUGCUAUUUCCUCAGGAAUCCCAUAAUUUAAAAGAACAUUCUCGACGAAAGCUCUUGCUACAACAUUUGUGGAUUUAUCUUGUAUUGGUGUUGCAGUUACGAACUUAGUCAGUUCGCACUGGGUUGUCAGAAUGUAUUGACAUCCCUCGUUGCUUGGUGGCAAUGGACCAACUAAAUCCAAAUAUAUUUUAUUAAAUGCACUUGUUGCAGUUGUUGUUUGCAUCAUGGGUGUCUUGUUCGGUUUUACGUGUUUGUUCUUUUGACAAAUUUCACAUGAACGAACGUAAUUCGAUAUGUCUUUCGACAUGGUCUUCCUUAUUUUUUUUAAUGCUUUAUUUAUUCCUGCGUGCCCUGCCGUUGGCAAUAAAUGUAAAUCAUUUAUUAUUAAUUCUUGUUACUUUGGAUCUACGAUAUGCUUUACUUUAUUAUUUACCAAUCUUAUUGGUGGCAUGCCUUUCAUUAAAUUAUUAGUGUACACUUCAUUAUAAAAUUUUUUCGCGCGUUCAUUUUAGUCACUGAUGUCACUGAUGGUUUUACUUAACGCUUAAAUUCUAUGUUACAUUGAAACUUACUGCUAGCUCUAGAGUGUUUUCGCGAGGGACAAUUUCCCCUCGCGGAACCACUCCCUAUCUCUGUAAUGCUAAUGGCCCUUCUCGGCCUUUCUCUGUUUUAGUACUCUCAUUCGUGGGUUUAAUCUCACUUAGUCUAAUUCUACCGAGAGCGGUGAGCCGUGCGCUCUGCCACUCCGUCGUGUUUGUGAACAAUCACCGGUAACUCACCCUCGCGAUGCGACGACGAGUCACCCAAGCCAAGCGGAAGACUUGGCUUCAACUGUAAGCAAGCCACGUCGUCUCCGAAUGGUCACAUUAUUGCGUUGCGUUAUCGAUACAAUAUGUGGCGUGUGGUGAUUUUCCGCAGAGUUUUAUCCGCUCCGAAGCACGUGCAAGAGCGUAUGAUAUUCGAAAUUCCAGUUUAUAUUAAAAUUGUUUCUCAUUAAAACUGCGCACGAGGUCGAAGCUCUUCCCGGGCUAAAGAAGAUUUUGGCCCGACUAACACAUGCUUCGUAACGGAACGUCGCAUCACCGAAGGGGCUCUGCUGAAUUCUCGUAUUAUGAGUUUCCAUACUCCUUUGACAGUGAACGCAAUAAUAAUAAAGCCAACACAAGUUGCAAUGAAGUUCAACGGGCCAAUUCCACUCCAUUAUGCACCCGGAAAAUAAAAGUUUUCAAGCGUAUCGUUUCGGUGCAGUUUUUAAACUUAUCCUUAAUUUAGGUUCGCCACCGACUUUGGUGAUUUGUUUCGCCACUAUACAUAAGAUCAGAUAAAUGUUUAUUUCGUGAUCCGCGUGUUUCCUGUCACGGUCGCCAUGUACCAUUUGCAGGAUCAGUGUGAUUUAUCGACGAUCUACUCUUCUUACUUUUUUCUUGGAGCUUGGAGGCUCGAUCACUUCAUUCAACUGCGUACACACUUCUUCUGGUAUUUCUUGGGCUUUUCGAAAAAAAAAAUCAAUGAUAAACUGAAAGCAGAUAUUUUUUACCUUUUUCGGCCAAAUAAAAUCGGCCACUCGGAAAUACCAUAGAGAAACGUGCCAAACACUUUUAACAAUCGAAUAGUACACAAAAGCAAAAGCUGCGAUUCCGAUUAAUUUGAUUGUUUGUUUUUUAGAAUAUCGUCUGAAUUAUGUGAACCACGAUUGUGGUUGAGUACAGGUGCAAUCCUGGCAACGAAAAACAAAGAUAUCGGCUAUUUUAAUUUUAUUAAAACAUUGUCUAUUCGCUAGAUUUUUCCCUACACUCACGUGUGUAGGUUAUAACCUACCAGGGAAUUCUUCUACUAAAUAUCCCUGUACGCGCCUUUGGCGCGAAAUUAAUACACAAGAUAACGGUGGACUAACUGACUUUAUUUUCGUACAUCACUACUUAAAUAUACCCUACCGGUAACUCAGAGAGAGAGACUUUCUCCACUCUCUGUUUACCUUACUAAUCUCUUAACCUAUAAUCUAGUACCGCAUGUACGAUAGAACGCAUACGAGAGCAUCAACACCGUUGAACCGGCGACUUCUGUUUUGUUUAUAACACAAAACUUGUUUAUUUUAUUCGAGUUUGUUUGCCUGUAGCACAGCAGAAGGCUGCGCGAAGUUCUUUGCCACCUGUGGCAUAAUCUGUUGAUACAUAGAGUGUUGACAGAGACGUUCGCGGUCCUCUGUCAAGGGAACCAAAUGUUUCGCCUGACUAAAGCAUAGCAGAAGGCUAUGCCCUCCUAGGAACAAAAUUAAACUUUAAUUAUAAGGCUCGUGACGGAGCAUUGGGUUCUUCGCAGGGUGUGACGUAACAUCUGCCACCCCGCCUAGUUGGCCAUUAUCUAGAAGAGACAAUGGUCACAUGGUCUGUUCUGAUGGCCGAUAGGUGUGUUUUUCUCUACAAUUAUUUUUUUAUUACAAUUAUUCUAGUUUUUAUGCAACUAUAUACACCGUUGUUUUUUUAUAUGUUUUUUUUUUUUUUCUCUGGCAGUUUACAUUAGUUUACAUUAUCAUACAUGACAUUUUCCUUAUUUAGAAUUAAAAAUUGCUUGCUCGCCUGAUGCGCUGCGUCGUGAAGAUGUCCGCCGCUUGGCUGUCGUAUUCAAGCGACGGGUUACAGGGGGUUUGAAACGAGAGGGUGCGUCUGGCAGUAGAGGUUCUCAUCGGUUGGUUGUGGUGUCAUCCUCGCGAACUCAUCCCUAAGGCUUCAUCGGGUUAUUUCCAAUAGUUCAAUGGUUAUAAUUGCACUUCAAUGAAGGCUGCAGUUCAUCUGGCUGUUUUACGAUUGUUCAGAGUGUGUUGUUGAACUUUAAUGUUGGGUUAGCCGUGUCCCUUUGACAUAGAUCGGCUGUAUUUUUGUUUGGCUUAUAGUAUUGUUACGCGUCGUGUGGCGAAAAGAUUUGCGAUUGCCACUGGCUCAGUUUCACAAUGCAGUCACUUGGUUUAUCAUCUUUAACUGUCUGCGCGGGGUGUCCAAUUAACCGCUAACAUAUGUGCGCACACUUUCAGAUCGUAGUGCGGAAAGAACAUAGUUGAUUAAACACGAGCAAAAUUUUAUAGCGUCAUUUUGCUUGUUUGGCUUUGACCUCGAAUCCUCAUUUGUAGAAGUCAAUAACUCUCAAUGAGUAAUAUAUAUUUGGAACAAAUUAUUACGCCCUUCGCUGUGUAGUUUGCUGGAUUCGUCUUCGCGCUGAAAUCUCGAUUCUGGCUCGACCAUGAGCCGCAUUGAUUGAGUUCUGUUGCACAUCUGACCUCUUCAGGGAUCAAAAACUGGAAACUGCUCGUCUCCUCUUGGUAAUAACGUAUGAUUUACCUCCAUCUCGACCAUAGACACCCGCCGUUCAACUCCCCUCGCAACCGUCUGCUUUCCUUUUCGCGCUGUACUGGGCAUCAUGGUAUGCCCCAUCUCGACAUCCGUUGUAAUCACCUCGGUCGUCUUCGAAGAUCGGGAACUCGUCUCGUUGUCAAUUCUUAAAUGCUAGCUGCCCUACUUAGAUUAAAACUCCGAAAAACUAUUUCAUUUUUCACUGAACCACAGAUAUUUAAACCACUACUUUUUCUUUUUGCUCCCUUAGCGUGAUUACUACGACCGAGUUUACGACCGCGUCUGACUUCCGAGAUACGUCCGAUUAAAGAAAAGAUUCAAUGGCGCGGAAAAGAUCCCACCGCUGUCACCACGUGUGUAGGUUAUAACCUACCAGGGAAUUCUUCUACUAAAUAUCCCUGUACGCGCCUUUGGCGCGAAAUUAAUACACAAGAUAACGGUGGACUAACUGACUUUAUUUUCGUACAUCACUACUUAAAUAUACCCUACCGGUAACUCAGAGAGAGAGACUUUCUCCACUCUCUGUUUACCUUACUAAUCUCUUAACCUAUAAUCUAGUACCGCAUGUACGAUAGAACGCAUACGAGAGCAUCAACACCGUUGAACCGGCGACUUCUGUUUUGUUUAUAACACAAAACUUGUUUAUUUUAUUCGAGUUUGUUUGCCUGUAGCACAGCAGAAGGCUGCGCGAAGUUCUUUGCCACCUGUGGCAUAAUCUGUUGAUACAUAGAGUGUUGACAAAGACGUUCGCGGUCCUCUGUCAAGGGAACCAAAUGUUUCGCCUGACUAAAGCAUAGCAGAAGGCUAUGCCCUCCUAGGAACAAAAUUAAACUUUAAUUAUAAGGCUCGUGACGGAGCAUUGGGUUCUUCGCAGGGUGUGACGUCACACACGAAUGAUAGGCCAACCGCAUGAGUUUUACGAUUUUAUUCACACGAUAUGGCAUAAGUUUUACGGUUUUAAUCACAACAAAAUUCACAUGAAAAUAAAUAAAUUUUCACACUUCUGCAUUCGGCGUUCUUGUUAAUAGAAGGUUUUUUUUCUGUCCCUUCGUUAUUCUCGGGGUUUUAAGAUUUGUUCAUUAAGUGAUUACCGCACAUACUGUUGUAUUUGGUUCGGAUUUUGUGAUACACAACAGAGAGUUAAUAACUUCCUUCUCGCGUGCCCGUCUGGACGGGACUGACCCACUUCUUUAUUUCUAUUCUUCGCUUAAACUAUACCACUGGCGAUGACCGGCAGCAUAACGCGGGGUCAGCAAAGUGCUCGAUCGCAUGACGGCAGUACAGUCGCUUUAGGCCUACGUCGGCUGAACCAUCGCUUGCUCGACCGAACUACACGCCACACACCGCGCAGCUAUCCGAGCCAUCUACCACACGCCCUAUUUAUUUUUUUAUAAAAUUUUUCACUAUAGUUAUAAAUUUUAUAUAGUUUCGGAUUGAACAAUUAAUGAUAUUACACCGAAAAUUCGUGUCCAUCCACGCCUUAUUAAUUGUAUAAUCCUUACUCACUAUUGGUUAUAAAAGGUUUACAUCUAGUUUUAUGUAUUAUAUCUAUUUUGUCUCCUAUUCUUAUUUCUACAUUUGGACCCUUAUCUGCGGUUACUGGAUAUGGUCCUAAAUAUAUUUUACUCAACUUAGAUCCUGUUUCAUUUUUUACAAGAAUUAGUUGACCUACAUUAUAUCUUAUAUCUUUUGCAUUGACAUUAUAUUUGGUUAUUCUUUUCAUUUUAGAGUUUAUUAAUUUGUCUCUUGUCUCCUUUUGUGUUUUUUGUAAUUUAUAUUUCAGAAGUUUUGCAUAGUCCUCUACGUUGUAUAGGGUAUCUGCCUUGUCGUUUUCGCUCAGAUUAGAUGGUAAUCUACACAAUUUUCCAAAAACUAAUUCAAAAGGCGUCAUAUUUGUUUCUAAGUGUGUUGUUGUAUUUUAUGCAAAUUGGUAAUACUUUAUCCAAGAUGCCCAGUUUCCUGGUGUUCCUGAUGCGUAUAUUCUUAAAAAUUUGCCUAACGUUUUGUGUGAAUUCUCCAAAGCUCCCACUGUCUGAUGGUGGUAUGCCGUGGAAUUCAGCUUUUUAAUUCUUAGAAGAUUGCAAAUUUUUUGAAAUAGCUCAGACAUGAACUCUGUUCCUCUGUCGGUUGCUAUUUCCUCAGGAAUCCCAUAAUUUAAAAGAACAUUCUCGACGAAAGCUCUAGCUACAACAUUUGUGGAUUUAUCUUGUAUUGGUGUUGCAGUUACGAACUUAGUCAGUUCGCACUGGGUUGUCAGAAUGUAUUGACAUCCCUCGUUGCUUGGUGGCAAUGGACCAACUAAAUCCAAAUAUAUUUUAUUAAAUGCACUUGUUGCAGUUGUUGUUUGCAUCAUGGGUGUCUUGUUCGGUUUUACGUGUUUGUUCUUUUGACAAAUUUCACACGAACGAACGUAAUUCGAUAUGUCUUUCGACAUGGUCUUCCUUAUUUUUUUUAAUGCUUUAUUUAUUCCUGCGUGCCCUGCCGUUGGCAAUAAAUGUAAAUCAUUUAUUAUUAAUUCUUGUUCCUUUAGAUCUACGAUAUGCUUUACUUUAUUAUUUACCAAUCUUAUUGGUGGCAUGCCUUUCAUUAAAUUAUUAGUGUACACUUCAUUAUAAAAUUUUUUCGCGCGUUCAUUUUAGUCACUGAUGUCACUGAUGGUUUUACUUAACGCUUAAAUUCUAUGUUACAUUGAAACUUACUGCUAGCUCUAGAGUGUUUUCGCGAGGGACAAUUUCCCCUCGCGGAACCACUCCCUAUCUCUGUAAUGCUAAUGGCCCUUCUCGGCCUUUCUCUGUUUUAGUACUCUCAUUCGUGGGUUUAAUCUCACUUAGUCUAAUUCUACCGAGAGCGGUGAGCCGUGCGCUCUGCCACUCCGUCGUGUUUGUGAACAAUCACCGGUAACUCACCCUCGCGAUGCGACGACGAGUCACCCAAGCCAAGCGGAAGACUUGGCUUCAACUGUAAGCAAGCCACGUCGUCUCCGAAUGGCCACAUUAUUGCGUUGCGUUAUCGAUACAAUAUGUGGCGUGUGGUGAUUUUCCGCAGAGUUUUAUCCGCUCCGAAGCACGUGCAAGAGCGUAUGAUAUUCGAAAUUCCAGUUUAUAUUAAAAUUGUUUCUCAUUAAAACUGCGCACGAGGUCGAAGCUCUUCCCGGGCUAAAGAAGAUUUUGGCCCGACUAACACAUGCUUCGUAACGGAACGUCGCAUCACCGAAGAGGCUCUGCUGAAUUCUCGUGUUAUGAGUUUCCAUACUCCUUUGACAGUGAACGCAAUAAUAAUAAAGCCAACACAAGUUGCAAUGAAGUUCAACGGGCCAAUUCCACUCCAUUAUGCACCCGGAAAAUAAAAGUUUUCAAGCGUAUCGUUUCGGUGCGGUUUUUAAACUUACCCUUAAUUUAGGUUCGCCACCGACUUUGGUGAUUUGUUUCGCCACUAUACAUAAGAUCAGAUAAAUGUUUAUUUCGUGAUCCGCGUGUUUCCUGUCACGACCGCCAUGUACCAUUUGCAGGAUCAGUGUGAUUUAUCGACGAUCUACUCUUCUUACUUUUUUCUUGGAGUUGCUUUAGGAUGUACUCGAUCACUUCAUUCAACUUCAUUCACACUUCUUCUGGUAUUUCUUGGGCUUUUCGGAAAAAAAUCAAUGAUAUAUUUUACCUUUUUCAGCCAAAUAAAAUCGGCCACUCGGAAAUACCGUAGAGAAACGUGCCAAACACUUUUAACAAUCGAAUAGUGCACGGAAGCAAAAGCUUCGACUCCGACUAAUUGGAUUGUUUGUUUUUUAGAAUAUCGUCUGAAUUAUGUGAACCACGAUUGUGGUUGAGUACAGGUGCAAUCCUGGCAACGAAAAACAAAGAUAUCGGCUAUUUUAUUUUUAUUAAAACAUUGUCUAUUCGCUAGAUUUUUCCCUACACUCACGAAUGAUAGGCCAACCGCAUGAGUUUUACGAUUUUAUUCACACGAUAUGGCAUAAGUUUUACGGUUUUAUUCACAACAAAAUUCACAUGAAAAUAAAUAAAUUUUCACACUUCUGCAUUCGGCGUUCUUGUAAAUAGAAGGUUUUUUUUCUGUCCCUUCGUUAUUCUCGGGGUUUUAAGAUUUGUUCAUUAAGUGAUAACCGCAUAUACUGUUCCCAAAUGCAAUGUGGUGAAAUAUUCAAUAUCUGUUCCCCUGAUUCUAACUGUUCAUGUGUUUCGGUAUUAUAAAAACUCGAACCUCUCGGGUGUAUGGUCGAUUCAAGAGUGUUUUAUUUUUUCUUUUCCUUAGUCUAUACAGGCCGUACGAUCGCAGAUCGAUACGUGACCUUUAAUGCUGUGCUCAGCAUAAUCGCCGUCGCCCGUUCAUCGCGCGGGUGGCGUGAUAGCGUUUAUGCUAAUUACAGUGUUAACACUACUUAAGUUUAUUUUAUUAUUUCCUUUCGCUUAUCUUAGAAGGGCCGUAUCCACCACUGUGGGAUCUCGCCGGAAUCUCCAGUUGGGUUUUCUUUCUAGCUAAAGAAAAGACGACUACACUUUACUGUGGUCGAACAUCGAAUGUAUAAUUUUUCUCAACUUAAAUUACAUUACCCUAAACCUACAGUUCACUGUUGCUGUCGUGUUGCGAUGUUUGUCAACACCGAGAAUGCUAACGCCAGCAUGUGGUGCGACGUGACUAGGUCACUGAUGCUCGAUGUCGGUCUACUCGUUGGCAACAUGUGUUGCGUCGUAUCCAGGUCAUCGGUGCUCGGCGGUGGUCUCGUUGCCAUCGGACGGUGAGUGGCGUAGAUGCAUUCUUUUUCCAGGAUGAACCUUCGUUGCUAACUCGCACCGAGUUCGUCCGCGCGGAACCGGCUUUACUUAACGAUUAAAUUCUAUGUUACAUUGGAACUAACUGCUAGCUCUAGAGUGUGUUCCGCGACAGACAAUUUCCCCUCGCGGAACCACUCCCUAUCUCUGUUAUGCUAAUGGCCCUUCUCGGCCUUUCUCUGUUUUAGUACCUUAAUCCCAUUAAGUCUAAUUCUAUCGAGAGCGGUGAGCCGUGCGCUCUGCCACUCCGUCGUGUUUGUAAACAAUCACCGGUAACUCACCCUCGCGAUGCGGCGACGAGUUACCGGCCCAUUAAGUACCGAACCGCGGCCUCUUGUUCAAUUAAUUGUGCUUACGGGUGGCAGUUUUUGUCACCCAAGCCAAGCGGAAGACUUGGCUUCAACUGUAAUCAAGCUCGGACCUACUUUCAUGGAUAGCUGAAAGCUGUGUCAACAUACGGAGAAACCGGUAGAGAACCGGCUAUACGCCACUUAAUGUGACAGAACCCUGUAGGAAGCUAUUAAGGGAUGCAACGUUUGUACCGCUGAACAUGCACUAAGUGCACGGAACCACUUCAGUUCGUAUAAGGUGAUGAUGAUCAACUUCAUUGCUCAACAGUCGGACUUAAAUAUUAACCUGCGGGUAACUCGGAGCAAGAGGCUUUCCCCUCUGAUUUGUACCAGUUAAAAAUGUUGGAUUUCUUUUGUUUCUUAUGACGACAUGAUGACAUCUGAAUGUCACGGAGAUACGAAUGCAACUAACUUUUAUUUUUACAUUUAAAAAUGUGCAGAAUUCGUCUUCUUUUAACCCUGCAGGCGGUUGCCGCCGUCAAACCUAAAGGAAAGAUUUUUGUUACCUUUUCUCUGUUAUCAAUUGCAGUGGUAAAAGCUGCGACUCGACUAAUUUGAUUGUUUGCUUUUUAGAAUAUCGUCUGAAUUAUGUGAACCACGAUUGUGGUUGAGUACAGGUGCAAUCCUGGCAACGAGAAAAAAAGAUAUCGGCUAUUUUAUUUUUAUUAAAACAUUGUCUAUUCGCUAGAUUUUUCACUACACUCACGAAUGAUAAGCCAACGUUUAAGUUUUACGAUUUUAUUCACACGAUAUCGCAUGAGUUUUACGAUUUUAUUCACAACAAAAUUCACAUGAAAAUAAAUAAAUUUUCACACUUCUGCAUUCGGAGUUCUUGUUCAUAGUGAGGUAUUUCUUAACAAUUCGCCAUGAGAUAUUCUUCGGAUCUUUCGGACUAGUGUGGUGUGCUCCGAGUUGAAGUUCACGUUAGAAUGAAUUUAUUAAUUUUCCAAAUUGCUGUCGGGGUCUGCGCGAAGCGACAGAGCGCGUAAAACCCAGGUAGCUAUGUUUGUAAAAUAGUAGCCACAUUGUUAUGCGCACAUGUGCAAAUGUGAAGGUUUUAAACAAGGAAGACAGAAAAGGUUAAAUGGUAAACAGGUCAGGAUUGAAGUUGUCGUGUUUCCACAUGUACGCCAGAUGGUUGGAAAAAGUGUCGUAUUACUACCACAGUAGAAGUUUUUUUUUCUGCGCCUUCGUCAUUCUCGGGGUUUAAGAUUUUUUCACUAAGUCAUUACCGCAUAUACUGUUUCCAAAUAACCUGUGGUAUCUCGCCGGAGCCUCCAGUUAGGUUUGCUUUUUAGCCAAAAAAAAAAGACGACUACACUUUACUGUGGUCGAACAUCGAAUGUAUUAUUUUUCUCAACAUUUUUCUUCGGCAGGUUCAACGCUUCCACAACACCACGGGGAAAGAAUCUUUUGUACAGAUUUCGUGAAUUGACCGUUGGUCACUUAUCAUUUGUGGCGUGCUGAAUCGCGUCUCAAGGUCGCCAUUUGAUAGGAUUAAUACUCAGUUUGUUAAGAAUGAUCCGAAUCUGAACUUAAACUUUGAUCAUUUCUUAAUUUAUAACUUAAACCUAGCAUUGUAUAGGAAAAAGUUGUAUAUUGUUGGUCUAUUUACUUGUAUGGUGUUCUACAGAGGCUACGAAGGCUACACCAACUAGCUCCACCAGUCGCCGCUGAACUGUCCGGGAACUCACAGUCAAGUUCAGUUCAUCUCGGAUCUUUUUCGGGGUCUUGAAGGGAUCUAUCUUGGAGGCUCUUUUGAUGUCAGGGUCAUUCUUCGAGGUCAUUUUCCUCGAGCGUCCAGUCGUUUCAGAUUUUCUUGCGGUAGCGGAGGGCAUUAAACACGAUGGUUUCGGAUCGUCCCAAUUACUUUUCGAUUUCGCGUUGACUGCUGCCAGCGUUGGACAUUUUGCGGAUGACCAUCAUUUUACCAGUGCCUUCGUCCUUUUUUAUCCGUUCUUGUUUCUGCCUCACUGAAAGGUUUCACUUUUAGAUCUUGACUUGAAGAUAUCCAUUUGCUCUGUCGAAAAGGAAUCUUCCGACUGUGCUCAUUCGUGAGUUUACAUUUGCUGCCCAAGCCCUAUGGGCCCGAUCUAUCAUGUCCUGUGGAGCUGUGUCGUGGAGGGUUUUAAUAUACGUGAGCCAAUUCGAUCAAUUUCUGUCUCUCGGGACUGCCCCCAGUUCCUCAUCAUCUGGAUUCCCGAUAUUGAAGGCUACAGGUGCUUCCUCAUCGGAGUCGAUUUGUGGUCUAGUCUUAUAUUGCAUUUGUAGAUCUGCGAUGUCUCUUAAGACUUCUGCCGUGAUCACUGCGUUGACAACGGGGCUGGUUACGUCUGGAACGUCAACUAAUCGAGCAUUAACCGACCUUUGGACACCCAUCGUUGUCCCGACGGUGUGUAUAAAGAAAUGGAGGUUAUGAUUAACACUCGCUGAGUAUGGAGACUUUAGGGAAAGAUCUAACUCCAUGGAAUAGGGGCAGUAUGACCGGGUGUUUUCUAUUUCUUGGUCUCUAACUAAGAUACGAUUUGAGUCCCAAGCGACCUUUGGGGUCCAGAUCCAAAGUGCGAUGUCCUUAAACUCCAUCCUAACUAGUUGAUUGAGGUAAUGGCACCCCACGAGCAUUGAGCAAUCAUUGAAUCGUGAAACAAUGGUGCCCAUUCGAAUCAUUGAAUAGGGAAACAAGGGGAAUUCCUGCACAUACAUAUCACAUCCUGCCAUAAUUCUUUUGAACGGUUAGUAAGAUGCCAAUGCUUAUAUGAGGUGAUUUCCAUGUCGAUUUGUACAGCUGGUUCCCCGAAGCUGCGCAUUACCUCUUGAAAUCGCUCGCACACCUGCUCACGGUAAUCUUGACGAGUUAUCAUGUUCAGCCGGUAAACGGCAGCAAAAGCGACUAAGUAUUUGAUGCGAUUGUUUUGAUUGUUUUUUUUUUUUAGAAUAUCGUCUGAAUUAUGUGAACCACGACUGUGUUUCACAUAAUUCAGAAAAACAAAGAUAUCGGCUAUUUUAAUUUUAUUAAAACAUCGUCUAUUCGCUAGAUUUUUCACUACACUCACGAAUGAUAAGUCAACCGCAUGAGUUUUACGAUUUUAUUCACACGAUAUCGCAUGAGUUUUACGGUUUUAUUCACAACAAAAUUCACAUGAAAAUAAAUAAAUUUUCACACUUCUGCAUUCGGCGUUCUUGUUCAUAGAAGGUUUUUUUUCUGCACCUUCGUCAUACUCGACAGGUUCAACGCUUCCACAACACCAUGGUGAAAGAAUCUUUUGUACAGAUUUCGUGAAUUGACCGGGACAAAAAGCGAAUCGGAAGCGACUUGAAACAUGUCCUAUCUGAUUGACGAUUCAAACUAAACUGAAUUGCACUUUAGUUAUUUAUCACUUUUGGCGUUCGUUUACUUUGGUCACUUAUCAUUUAUGGUGUGCUGAUUCGCGUCUCACGGUCGCCAUUUGAUAGGAUUAUUACUCAGUUUGUUAAGAAUGACCCGAAUCUAUUGAAACUGAACUUAAACUUUAAUCACUUCUUAAUUUAAAACUUAAACCUAGCAUUGUAUAGGAAAAAGUUGUAUAUUGUUGGUCUAUUUGCUUGUAUGGUGUUCUACAGAGGCUACGAAAUGUGGCAUGUGCAUCACACAUGGCAUCGAAUCCUGUUCAAUCACAGCAGAACGCAUAAGAAGAUCUCUUUCAAGUGCUUCACCGGGAUGGACGUUCCGUUGAUCUCAAUUAAAUCCUCAUCCUUGACCUUUUCCUUGACUGAUCCGGAUUUGUUUGCAUGUUGCUUUAUGGUGGUGUAGAUGGUCCAUAGGGUAGCUGUGACUUUGCUAACUUCAUCAAUGUCAUGGCCUUGAGGAGGGUUGAGGUCAAAACCGAAUCUCUUGAGGAGUGCCACAUGCAAGUGGUGAACUGCCAACCUCAUCUUCCUGUUAAGGGUUAGGUUUAUCUCAGGCUUUGAUAGAGCUUUGGAGCUAGUCUUCUGUUGCACUCGUAUGUAAAUCAUCUCGCUUCUGUUGCAUUCGUACAAUAAUCAGCUUAAUUUCUCGAAUUGGUAUGUUGUAGUGUUAUUUUCCGACGGGUUUACUGUCAUCCCGUUUCGCGCACUUUCAGUUUAUUUCGCACUGUUCCCUAAAUCGUUUUUGUAGACACACACUUGUGUACACUGUCACUUUGUCAGUUUUUUAAAUUGUGGUCAGAUCCGAAAUAGUUUUCGCAGCUUUCAAAGCCUGCGCACGGGUGUGUUCUUUGUAAAGUUUGUACACUGUUAUAAGCAAUUGCACAGAGACGAUCACGAGUAUAAUCGUGAGUUUGACUUCGUGCUCUCUAUGCCGCUCUGCGUGAAUUUCCAGUCUAUUUAAAACUUGGACCUGGGGGUCCCCGGAAUUCGGAUUUUUUUCGGGGCCUUGAAGGAAUCUAUCUUGGAGGCUCUUUUGAUGUCUUUGAUGUUUUCGGGGUCAUUUUCCUCGAGCGUCCAGUCGUUUAAGAUUUUUUUGCGGCAGCGGAGGGCAUUAAACACGAUGGUUUCGGAUCGUCCCAAUUACUUUUCGAUUUCGCGUUGACUGCAGCCAGCAUUGGACAUUUACCAGUGCCUUCGCUCUUUUUUAUCCGUUCUUGUUUUUGCCUCACCGAAAGGUCUUGAACUUUUUGGAUCUUGACUUGGUCUGAAGUUUAUUUUUCAGGAUCCGACGGAGACUUCGAUCAAAUACGUUGAGAUCCACUACCAAUUUGGUUCAUCUAUCCAUCUUUUUUUCUCUAAGCCAAUCCAACAGGCCUUGAAAAAAACUAACAAUUUUCUUUCGCCCGUUACGUCCAUCAGUUGUUUAUCAAAUACGUCUCAAACUCAUUUCAUCGCUCCAAUCAGAGAAGAAAUUUACCUAAACCAACUCAAUCGUACUUGGAAAGUUACGCUAAAACCAACUGAAAUCAACGCAAGAAUCACUCAGAAUUCUUUCUAAAGAUUAGCGUUUUAAUACGUACCAAUACUGACAACUCCGUUUAAGAGUCAAAUAAUCAUCAUUCUUUUAUCAAUGACUGAAGAUCCCCCAGCAGACUCAAAUUUACUUAAACUCACCUGCUCAGUUAUCUCACAUUUAAUCUCUUUGCUAAACGGUGAUGGUGGAAUCAGAGCAACUCAUUUGUUGAAUGUUUUACAGUCACUGCACUAUAAAUAUGAAAAAAAAAAUGUAUUGGAAAUCGCACUUUCAUAGAUCCCUUCGCGUACAAUUCUACUCCCAAAUGAUGUAGAAGGUUAUUCUAAAGUCAGUAUGUUAUUUUAUUUGAUGUAAAAGGUGCAUAUUUCUGAACUAGUAUCGUUUACUAUGUCAAAAUAUUCAUUGUGACAACACCGGUUUAUGCUGCUUGUAAAAUCAUUGGUUACACUGAAAAAGUACAAUUCGUUGCUAUGGUUCAAUAAAAAGCAUAAACAGUCUUUAUAGGUACUUAACGAAACUUUCUUUUUAACACGUUUUUUAUUUACUUGACAACCGUCAUGGCAACGACGCUACUUUACAUUGAGUUUGUUGUCAGCUUCUCGUCUUGCAAUGUCAUAGUAAUCUGCGAUGUUUUUGGAAAAAAUAGCAGAGCAUCAAAACUUGUUCACAAGUUCUUGUACGCAAUAAAAGCAUGCCACGCUGCUUUCGUAUCAGUUUGUUUUUGUUUUUUUUUUUAUCUUUCAUUUUGAAAACUCAAUAAAAAGGUGAGCCAUGAUUAUCCGAUUCAGACAGACAGAAAAAGCUCACGACUCUCAGCUGGGUUCCGAUUGCAGUUAUUUCGAUCGACGGUUGAUCCCUUUUUCCCCCACGUGCGUACAACAUAACCAGUGACAUACAAGCCUGUGUAAAUAUGAACAGCAUUCUUUCCAAACUCCCCACCCUACACUAGGAAACAAAAUCAAGAGAGGAAUAAAAAAAAACAAUAUUGCAUAAUGUAAAUUGUUGUACAGUUGUAUAAAGCUAGUAACCCUACUUUAAAAAAUAGAUUAAACUACGCGAAAGUUCUUGUCUGUAAAUACGGCGACAAAUACAGAAUAACGCAAAAUCAAACGACAUGAAACAUGGUGUAAAAUAGUACAAAUAGCUAAUAUAAAUAAAACACAAAAGAGAAAUUUAUGCUAAAUCACGCAACAGAAGUGGAAUACUGCGAGUAAUAUAUUUGAAAAAAAAAAACACUUAAAGUGAAAUAAUAACUACUUGAAUUAAACACUAGCUCAUACUUGUAAAAAGGUAAAACAAAAAGAAAACUCAGCAUGGCUAAUAAUUAGCGAAUAGAAACUACUUGUAAGCUAUAAACAGAAGUUUUAAAACACGCAAACCGGACCGAACCGGUUCGAGCUAAGCCGGGCUGUUGUUUCUUCUCUGGAACAGCAGCCGACGGAACUAAAUUAUUUGCAAGUGAAUAUAUAGUUAAGAUAUGCAAAAACAAAACUCUAGCUUGAAGGAAGCGCGUGCGAGUAGCAACGAUUAUCACACCUACUUAACAUUGAUACAAUGAACAUGUUAAAGAGCUACUUUUUUAUUAUUGGUUUUAGAUUUCUUUACAUCUUACCUGAUAAUCCAUCGAUUGCUGCUGCUCGCGAGACAAUGUAUAAUACUUUUUAACCUACCUAACUCUAGAUAGAAAUCUUGAUGCAGUGCGUUAUAGAGAUCUGCUAAGCUCCCCUAAUGUAAAAAAAAGAAAGAUUAUGACUAGAGAUAAGCUACUAGUGAGUAAGUCUAAUUCGAGUGUUCGCCUGAACCUCAUAUACAUCCACAACCAGACAGAAAAAAAAACACAUACACAACAGGUAAAAAACCAUUAUGUUUAAAUGUUCUUUUUUGUAUAUUUAUAACAUUUUUUUAAAGACAAAACAUGGUUAUUGAAAAUGCGACGAAAAAGAAAGAAAAAAAACUUGUACUAUACAAAAUGAUGAAUCGAUUCAAGAUUAAAAUAAAGAAAUAAUUGAAAAAUUA